rnacentral:rRNA from 1 species
GCAAAAANGAAAGCAGCUUCGGCUGGGAGUACUUGGCGCAAGGGUGAGUAACGUAUAGGUAAUCUGCCCUUUGGACUGGAAUAACCCCGAGAAAUCGGGGACAAUACCAGAUGAAGCAGCGACAAUCGCAUGGUUGUUCUGCCAAAGAUUUAUCGCCAAAGGAUGAACCUAUAUCCCAUCAGGUAGUUGGUAAGGUAACGGCUUACCAAGCCUACGACGGGUAGCUGGUCUGAGAGGAUGAUCAGCCACAUUGGAACUGAGACACGGUCCAGACUCCUACGGGAGGCAGCAGUGAGGAAUAUUCGCAAU